rnacentral:rRNA from 1 species
GACGAAGGAUGCAAGCGUUAUCCGGAUUCAUUGGGUUUAAAGGGUGCGUAGGUGGCCUUAUAAGUCAGUGGUGAAAUCUCUGGGCUUAACCCAGAAAUUGCCAUUGAUACUGUAGGGCUUGAGUACAGUUGCUGUGGGCGGAAUAUGACAUGUAGUGGUGAAAUACAUAGAGAUGUCAUAGAACACCGAUUGCGAAGGCAGCUCACAAAGCUGUAACUGACACUGAGGCUCGAAAGUGCGGGGAUCAAACAGG